AUUUACUAUAGGGUAAUUCGGGGUAAUUGACCCGUAUUUUCUGCAAGAAAUUGCGUUCCGCGUUUACCUGGGCAAGAUGAUAUAAAAAUUGUGGCAUUUUAUGGAAGAAUUUCAGAGGUCUACAUGAAGGAGUGGGCCUGCCGCAAGAAUCUCAUGGUAAAAUAGCAGAUAGCUCUAAAUCGUGGCUGGUGUGAUUGACUUGUUUGUCGAGAGAAAUCCUUGUCGAAUGGCCAUAAAUUUUUACAGCUAAUAGCCUAUCAAAAAAUAGUGAGACAUUUAAGUGUUAAUGUUUUACUCUGCAUUG